rnacentral:lncRNA from 1 species
AGAAUAUACCAUUAUGAUAGAGAUAGGGGGUUGGAAGCAAGUUAGUAUAAUGGAACAUUCUCUAUCUCAGAAGAAGGGAGAGAACAUUCUAUAAAACUCAUUCUGCCCGUGACUCAACUGGCUGAGAAGCACUUUUGAAGUGGAAAAUGGGGAACUCACCAGGUUUCCAGUGCUCACUUGGUUGUGUUGUGCUGUGCCCGAAGUGUUGCUUCUUCUAUGACCUGAAUGAAGUGUUCUGCAUUAUUCCAAUGUCAGACCUGCCAGAGGACAAAUUGCCAAAUCAACAGUCUCCUUGGACGAUAAAUCUCGAGCUCUUCAGCAGAAUAGCAAA